rfam:Candidatus Yanofskybacteria bacterium RIFCSPHIGHO2_01_FTLL_48_25b rifcsphigho2_01_scaffold_995, whole genome shotgun sequence.
GCCCGGGUGGUGGAAUGGUAUACACGUGGGUCUCAAAAACCCAUGGGGGCAACCCCUUGAGAGUUCGAGUCUCUCCCCGGGCA